ensembl:lncRNA
UCCCACAGCAUCGCUGUCAGUGGGAGGAAGGAGCAUUUAGCUGUCAAUCUUCUACCUGUGUGCAAUGCCAGUGUCUCCUUCCAUGUGCUCUGUGCAGCCACGGAGAGGAGCAGAGAGGGAAGGGGCUGUGCCCAGGGCUUUGCCUUGCGCGGCUCCUUUGCCAGCCCCAGGGAGCCUGAGGAUCUCCUACAGAUCCACAGGAGCUCUUCUGUCCUGCCUUUCCUUGCAGCCAAGCCUCUUGGUGAAGGUGAUCUGGCUUCCCAACCCACAUCCAGGACUGAGGCUCUGGGAGAUGGCGAGGGUGUGUCUGCAGGGAGGACUUUCCCAGCUCCUGGGUUGGUAACUGUACGCAAGCCCGGCUCCCAUCGCAGGGGUCCUCCAAGUGGAAAGAACAAAGCUACAGGACACCAGAAACCCCAUGUGCCAUCCAAAAUCACUCCGCAAAUGCUGAAGGAAAUGCUGCAGGGAGGACAAGAAGUGGACAGAGCGGCUGUGCUGAAGGCGGUGUUUCCCGGAGGAAGCAGUGGCCCAUGGGCAGCCUCUGCUGCAGGAAGGGAGGCCAUGCCAGGCACAGUCACAGGAGGUAAUUGCUGUGCCUCUGGGCCUGAGCCCUGCUGAGGCUUGAGCUGCCAUCUCUGCUGCUUGGCAGUGCAGGCACAGCCCGGCCAAGACCGGCACAGCCCAGAGGAAUUAUCCCCAGCAGGCUCAGGGCACUCGGCUACUGAGCAGUCCUGCUGGGGUCCAUCCAUGGGAGACACGUCCCAAAACCUGGCAGGGGCUGCAAAGGGGUGCCCAGGGUGGGGAAUGGGCAGAGGGGGAGGCCAAGGCUCCAGUGUGUCCUGAGAGGGCCUGGCUCUGCCCCCUUGGGCUGGGAGAGCUGUCCCAGGGAAAAGAGGGAUGGAGA